UAAGUACAUGAGCUAGGAAACCUUAGCUAUAUAUACUAUCAGUUCUAAACUCUUCCCCCCAAAGAUCCAGAUAAGGACCUUCCUCAAAUUCGUUGGUACAGGUUACUUACAAUCCUGCAUGGUCAAAAAUCCUUGGCGCACUUAGUCGAAAUAGCAUAACCUUUACUUCAUUUCGGAUUACAAUAUACAUACUUGCCCAUUUUAUGCAAAAUUUCAUGUCCAAACACCCCCUAUCCCCCUUAUCAAUGUUGUGUAACACCUUGGACGUAUA